GGACUACCCGGGUUUCUAAUCCUGUUUGCUCCCCACGCUUUCGUGUCUCAGCGUCAGUACUCGUCCAGUUGGCCGCCUUCGCCGCCGGUGUUCCUCUCGAUAUCUACGAAUUUCACCUCUACACCGAGAAUUCCACCAACCUCUCCGGUACUCAAGUCGAGCAGUAUCGGGUGCACUUCCCGGGUUGAGCCCGGGGCUUUCACAUCCGACUUUCACGACCGCCUACACACGCUUUACGCCCAGUAAUUCCGAACAACGUUUGCACCCUCUGUCUUACCGCGGCUGCUGGCAC
rnacentral:rRNA from 1 species